rnacentral:rRNA from 1 species
UACGUAGGGUGCAAGCGUUAAUCGGAAUUACUGGGCGUAAAGCGUGCGCAGGCGGCUAUGCAAGACAGAUGUGAAAUCCCCGGGCUCAACCUGGGAACUGCAUUUGUGACUGCAUGGCUAGAGUGCGGCAGAGGGGGAUGGAAUUCCGCGUGUAGCAGUGAAAUGCGUAGAUAUGCGGAGGAACACCGAUGGCGAAGGCAAUCCCUGGGCCUGCACUGACGCUCAUGCACGAAAGCGUGGGGAGCAAACAGGA